CCCUCCCGAAGAAUAUGUGGAAAAUGGAUUUAGCCCGGACAGGUAAUCCGAAUUAGGGUCUGAAUUUAGCCUAGACUGGUAAUUCAAAUCUAAGCUCAUUAGAGUAAUUGUCAUUGCAGGGGAUUUAGUCUGGACUGGUAAUCCCAACAAUACUCUAUGAGUUCAUAUUACAGGGGAUUUAGCCUGGACUGGUAAUCCCGCUG
rnacentral:lncRNA from 1 species